ACAUACGGAUCCACGUUCCACAUCAGAAACGAGAAGAAGACGAUGAAGAACAUCUCAUUGCCCAGCUCGGUGCCAAUAGUGAACAGAUAGAAAAGAAACUUGUUCUCUAUGAUGAACUCCUGUCCACCAUCACCAGUCAGGAGAUCCUCGUACAGAUGGAUUUGAAGCAGGAUGACAUAAUGGUCACGUGGUCUCCGUUUCUUUUAUAAGCGCCUGCUGGAUACAACUACUGCAGUUGAUGAGCGAAUCAGCAUUUUCCCCAAAUUAUUUGCAAUUGAAGCUUGCUGGGAAUAAUUUUCCUUUGUUCGAAAGGAGGUUAACAUACUUUUUUAUUUGUUUAAAUUUCUUAAGCACGGUAGCAGUGAACGCAGGACAGUUUUCGGUUAAUGUGAAGCCAAAGCGCCCCUGCGUGGAAGAAACGUGAAACAAAUGCGCAUGAAAUUGAAUGAUAAUGUUUCAUGGACCGAGUAAUAAGAAUACAGAAAUGAAAGGCAAACAAUUUAGACAACUUUAUAAUAAUUGAUCAUUAAUAAUGAAUAAUAAACUUUUAAGAGACAUGA